GACGAACUGUCCUAACGUUGUUCGGAAUCACUGGGCUUAAAGGGCGCGUAGGCGGUCCGACAAGUCGGGGGUGAAAUCCUGCAGCUCAACUGCAGAAGUGCCUUCGAUACUGUCGGUCUGGAGGGAGAUAGGGGUGUGCGGAACUUCCAGUGGAGCGGUGAAAUGCGUUGAUAUUGGAAGGAACGCCGGAGGCGAAAGCGGCGCACUGGAUCUCUUCUGACGCUGAGGCGCGAAAGCUAGGGGAGCAAACGGG
rnacentral:rRNA from 1 species